UUGGUAAGCUAUUGAUUAUUGCCACAA
rnacentral:piRNA from 1 species